rnacentral:rRNA from 1 species
UUUAAAUGGCCGCAGUAUACUAACUGUGCAAAGGUAGCAUAAUCAUUAGUCUUUUAAUUGAAGGCUGGUAUGAAUGGUUGGACGAGAUAUUAACUGUUUCAUAAAAAUUUUUAUUAGAAUUUUAUUUUUUAGUAAAAAAGCUAAAAUUUAUUUAAAAGACGAGAAGACCCUAUAAAUCUUUAUAUUUACAUUAUUAUAAUUUUAUAGAUUAUUUUUAUUAUGAUAAUAAUAAUAUUUUAUUGGGGUGAUAUUAAAAUGUAAUAAACUUUUAAUUUUAAAAAUCAUUAAUUUAUGAAUAAUUGAUCCGUUAUUAACGAUUAAAAAAAUAAGUUACUUUAGGGAUAACAGCGUAAUUUUUUUGGAGAGUUCUUAUCGAUAAAAAAGAUUGCGACCUCGAUGUUGGAUUAAGAUAUAAUUUUAGGUGUAGUCGCUUAAAUUUUAAGUCUGUUCGACUUUUAA